CUCCCACCUGCCAAUUAAUUAUUUGGCAUUGACUGUGUUAUGAAGAAUUGAUUGAGAGUGAGAGCAGAAGGGACCUCCCACAGGAGGCCUUUCUGUUCUCCACCCACAGCAAGAAGAGCGCAUGCACUGUGGUUGUUAUGGUAACUCACUAGCCGGCACUGCUAGGACUGGCUAGUGAUUAUAGAAGCUGAAUGACUGACGUCUCUCCAUUCACAUGCCAGUAUGCUGGCAACAAAGCCAGCAUGUCAGAGUCAUGGAGAAGGUUUGCCUGGUUUGGAAACACUUUCCCAGGGCAAAUCCGUGAGGAGCAGGGGCAGACCACAGGUGGGUGGUACAGAAGUGUAAGUAAGAAGCUCACAG